UGAAUGGACCGAUUUCUUACUACUUGCAUUGUGCAUGUGUGUUUAGAUGGGCUGAUUUCUUGUUGCUUGCAUUUUCAAUUACGUAUGUUUAAACUAUUAGAGGUUAUUGUUGAAGGGGGUGGUUUUGUAUAUGGUUAUCUAUGGAUGCAUGGAUUGUGAAUGUUACUCGAUUAUGUAUGUGUAAACUAUUACAUAUUAUCCCCAUUAAGGAUUUUUUUUACCAGUGCUCUAGGGUUUUGUAUCAGUUACCAGGUUCUCUCAAAAACCCCCAAAAUGGCAGGAAAUUUGUUGAUGAAUGGAAUAUAUAAGCAGUUUUUUUUUCCAAGUACUGCACAUAUUGGAAAUGAGAGUAAGUGUUGUUUUUGGUUCAUUGGUGCACUCAUCCUUGGAAGAAAUGGAUUGCAUUCAAGGCAACGUAGAGUUGCUGAAUUGGUUGAAGAACUUGAAAAGAAAAAGUGCGAGUUUUUAAGUGUUACUAAUUUCUAAUCCAAAUAAUGCUUUCUAAUUUGGUUUGGAAUUCCUGUUAAUUUAUACUUGUUGAAAUUCUCCACCUAAUAUUAGGUGGUGAAUUUUGACAAAUUUGGGACCAAGCAUUGGAAAAUGCUGUUGGAUUUUCACCGAAAUUAGGCGUAGAACUCAAUAAUGCCUGAAAAUGCGAUUGAUGAGUGUGUAUUGAUGUGUAGUGAUCUUGUUCUCUGUUUGGAAAUCUGUUUGAACUUGAAGUUCUUUGCUAUUUGCAGAUACUUCGUUUCAGAUUGGGAUAUUCUGUGUUAUGCAUAUUGUCUGUUUGAUAGUUUGACUUAGUAGAGGGACACAUCUGUAAAUGCAUUGAAACUUAGAUAUUGUCUUGAAGUUGGCUGGAUUUGCUCAACCAAGUUUUCUUCUUCUUCCUUCUUUUUGUCAUCUCCAUUAGCAAUUGGUUUGAAAUUAGUGGGAUUCGAGUGACUUGUCUUGGUUAUCUUGCUUUGGUACUUUUUUGAAGUUGGUUGUCUUGUCACCUAAGUUUAUGAUUUUUCAUUUGUCAUCACCAAUGGAUUUUUUUCCGCAUUGUGCAAUCAGAUUUUGAUUUCGAGUUCAAGCGGAACGACAAAGUGAGGUAGGGAUUUCAAGACAUUGGGAUCAUUAUGGCCAACUUCUGAUUUGGAUGAGGCCUUCCCAAUCGUGUGCAAUGUCCAUGUUUUUAUCUCUUAUCUCCCUCUCUGUCAUCACUUUGGAAUGAUUGAAGAGUAAGGUCCAGCAGUUUAUAGCAAUGUAUAGGGAAGUAAAAAACAUUUUGAGACAACCAGGUUUUGGCUGGGAUAAGGUUAAUCGAAUGGUAACUGCUGGAUCGGUAUAUAGCUGAGUUUACUUAUGUGACAAAGUACUUUGCCUAUAUACUUCAACGAAUUGGAGAAGAUAUUUAACACAGAUGCUUUAGAUUGAAGCCAUGUGGAAGGGGGAAGAAAUAGGUGCUGAUGUCUUCUUCAAGGGAUCUCGGCAUCUCAAGACUGUCUUUUUGAGAAUCUAGACUUUCCUUUCAUUAAAGUUCUAAUUUUUGUCUAAAUCUGUUUUUUUUUUUUUAAAUGUUGGAAACAUUGUGGGACAAACAACAAUGUUAUUUUAUUGUUGAAUGACAAACAUCAGUGGUGAAUGUAUGUCUAAGUAGUGUUCAAGCUAUUAAAGGUUAUUAUUGAA